rnacentral:rRNA from 1 species
AUUAGGGGCUAGUAUAAGCACUCUUGUACCGUGAAACUGCGAAUGGCUCAUUAAAUCAGUUAUCGUUUAUUUGAUAGUACCCUACUACAUGGAUACCUGUGGUAAUUCUAGAGCUAAUACAUGCGCAAAACCCCGACUUCGGAAGGGGUGUAUUUAUUAGAUAAAAAACCAAUGCCCCUCGGGGCUCCUUGGUGAUUCAUAAUAACUUCACGAAUCGCAUGGCCUUGCGCCGGCGAUGGUUCAUUCAAAUUUCUGCCCUAUCAACUUUCGAUGGUAGGAUAGUGGCCUACCAUGGUGGCAACGGGUAACGGGGAAUUAGGGUUCGAUUCCGGAGAGGGAGCCUGAGAAACGGCUACCACAUCCAAGGAAGGCAGCAGGCGCGCAAAUUACCCAAUCCCGAUACGGGGAGGUAGUGACAAUAAAUACUGAUACAGGGCUCUUUUGGGUCUUGUAAUUGGAAUGAGAACAAUCUAAAUCCCUUAACGAGGAACAAUUGGAGGGCAAGUCUGGUGCCAGCAGCCGCGGUAAUUCCAGCUCCAAUAGCGUAUAUUAAAGUUGUUGCAGUUAAAAAGCUCGUAGUUGAACCUUGGGCCCGUCCUGCCGGUCCGCCUCACCGCGAGUACUGGUCCGGAUGGGCCUUUCUUUCUGGGGAAUCCCAUGGCCUUCACUGGCUGUGGCGGGGAACCAGGACUUUUACUGUGAAAAAAUUAGAGUGUUCAAAGCAGGCCUUUGCUCGGAUACAUUAGCAUGGAAUAAUAGAAUAGGACGUGCGGUUCUAUUUUGUUGGUUUCUAGGACCGCCGUAAUGAUUAAUAGGGAUAGUCGGGGGCGUCAGUAUUUCAGCUGUCAGAGGUGAAAUUCUUGGAUUUUGCUGAACACUCACUACUGCAAAGCAUUCGCCAGGGA